AUUGUGCUUGCACAGAUGACGACCGGCGCACGGGUGCGUAACGCGUAUAGAACCUACCUUUUACAGAGGAAUAGCCUUUAGAAAUGAAGAUUAAUGCCUCAUGGUAUUGUAGACUGGCAUCAGUUUAUAAUUAAAGAUUUAUCGGUAAAAGAUGGCUAUGCGUCCUAUUAGUUAGUUGGUAAGGUAACGGCUUACCAAGACAGCGAUAGGUAGGGGUCCUGAGAGGGAGAUCCCCCACACUGGUACUGAGACACGGACCAGACUCCUACGGGAGGCAGCAGUGAGGAAUAUUGGACAAUGGAGGAGACUCUGAUCCAGCCAUGCCGCGUGUAGGAAGAAUGCCCUAUGGGUUGUAAACUACUUUUAUACAGGAAGAAACACUGGUAUGUAUACCAGCUUGACGGUACUGUAAGAAUAAGGACCGGCUAACUCCGUGCCAGCAGCCGCGGUAAUACGGAGGGUCCGAGCGUUAUCCGGAAUCAUUGGGUUUAAAGGGUCCGCAGGCGGUC
rnacentral:rRNA from 1 species